GGAGACUUGAUAUAGGAGGAGUCUGCGGCACAUUAGCUAGUAGGUGAGGUAAGAGCUCACCUAGGCGACGAUGUGUAGCCGGUCUGAGAGGAUGAACGGCCACAAUGGAACUGAGACACGGUCCAUACUCCUACGGGAGGCAGCAGUGGGGAAUAUUGCACAAUGGGGGAAACCCUGAUGCAGCAACGCCGCGUGAGUGAAGAAGGUUUUCGGAUUGUAAAGCUCUGUUAGCAGGGAAGAGGAAGGACGGUACCUGCAGAGGAAGCCACGGCUAACUACGUGCCAGCAGCCGCGGUAAUACGUAGGUGGCAAGCGUUGUUCGGAAUAACUGGGCGUAAAGGAUGCGUAGGCGGUUGAGUAAGUUAUGUGUUAAAUAUAUAGGCUUAACCUGUAGAAAGCACAUAAAACUGUUUAACUAGAGUGCAGGAGAGGUAAGUGGAAUUCCUAGUGUAGCGGUGAAAUGCGUAGAGAUUAGGAAGAACACCAGUGGCGAAGGCGACUUACUGGACUGUAACUGACGCUGAGGCAUGAGAGCAUGGGGAGCAAACAGGAUUAGAUACCCUGGUAGUCCAUGCUGUAAACGAUGGGUACUAGGUGUGGGUUGUGAAUAACAAUCCGUGCCGUCGCAAACGCAAUAA
rnacentral:rRNA from 1 species